UCUCGGUCUCGUUCAGAAACACACUCAGGAACACACCGGUUCAUCAGUCAGUGGACAAUAUCCUGCAUAGACCGUCCUUCAUUCUCCCCUCUUCCCAACUCUGGCAGCUGUUGUUAUCAUUACAGGCUCUCGCUCUCUCCCUUUCUCUCUCACUCCUUCACCCUCCAUCCCUCCCUCCCACUCUCCCUCUCUCUCUCUCCCUCUCUCUCUCCUCCUGGUAUCUCUGGCGAUUUGCCGCAUGGAACUCGCCCAGGCAAGGCAGAGCAUCAGCUGUCUGAUCUGGACUCCUCUCCAGUUGCCGACCACUGCUCAACACUCACACGCAGCAGACACGCGCUCACCUUUACUGGGACUCAAUGGGAUUUAACGAAAAUGUUCGCCUCACGACCUGAAAGACAAUAGUGCGCCUAUGCUGGAGCUUGACACAUUCACAACGAUAGGCUGUUUCUAUUUGCCUUUCCUGUUUUCUUUUUUCCCUCUUUUGUUUCUGCACUCAGCGGACGAACCUGGGACCGGAGGUAGCUGCAGGGGGACUUUACUGGCAUGGAGUCCUUAUUUUGCCAAGCGACCCGCAGGGAGUCAUAAAACAGAGAAACCAAUCGCCUUGGUAGAAUAUUAAUGACCCAGUCUUGACAGUAAUCCAGGAGAUGUUGCAGCAGAGUUUGAGAGCCUAGAGUGCAUCCCAACUUUUUGGUCGCCGAUUCAGAGCUCAUGCUCUCAAACACGUUACAGACUUCUUCUGUCAUGACUGAUUUGCCCUAUUUCACGACCUGUCAUGGACAAGUCAACGUCUUUGGUUGUUGAGGAGCAAUUUAAGGGUUGGGAGUGACAACACAGGGAAAUCACAAGCCUCAAGUCUGAAGAACGUCUCACGACAGUGAUGACCCAGGAGCAGUACAUUCUAGCGGCACAGCCCAACCCACUCCACCAACGAGGGGCAUCGAUGUGCGGCGCCCAGGUUUACCCCGCGGUGGGAAUCUAUGGGUGGAGGAAGAGAUGCCUGUACUUCUUUGUCCUCCUUCUCCUCGUGACCAUGAUUGUUAACCUUGCACUGACCAUCUGGAUUCUCAAAGUCAUGAACUUCACCCCUGUAAGUGACCGGAUUAUUUCAAACAUUUUUGAGUAGACAUUCUGCAAGAGAGAGAGAGAGAGAGAGAGAGAGAGAGAGAGGUGAAUGUGAGUGACUAUUAUGACGUUAGAGAACUUGGUCUCUGUGCUAUAACAAAUGUGUAAAAAAAAAGGUAUUCCACUUGACUAAACUCUAAAAGCGAGGUUUUAUUUUGUAUCACGUCAGAGAUAAAAACAUUUUGGAAUGUGUCAGAAGAGACGCAGAGCCAUCAAUUAAAAGGGCAUAAUUUUUCUUAACAAAACGUCUCUCACAUUCAUAACAAAACAGCAGAAGUGAUUACAGUAUGACAAAAAACAGGGAACAAUAACAACAAAAAACAAUAAAGAUAGAGAGAUGAGAGGGGAAAAAAGCAGAUCCUGGUCGUUUGUUAAAAAAGAAAAAAAACGUUGGGUAGAAAAGACAAAGCUCUUGUGACAAACACUGAUAAUUAACUUAAAGACAUUUGGAGAAGAUACAACAGUGUUGUGAUAAACGUACAGACGUGAUCCAAGAUCUCAUUGUUUUCCUGCUGCCUUUCUUCUUCUUCCUUCCUGGUCUGUGCACUGCCUCUGUGACCAGACCAGGAAAUGUUCAUUUGAACUAUAUUGUCAUAUCUCUGGUCAGCAGAUUUUUUUUAUGUUUGUUAUGAAAAACAGAGAUUGAGCAUCUCAUCCACAGAUUAGCGUUCAAACACAUUCAUCAUUGGCUGCCUGGAGGCUGAAGGAACCACAGCUACUGUACGGUUUAUAUGCAAAUGAGACAGGAUUUAACCUCCACAAAGUCUUCCAAAGAUUCAGGCUGGUUUGUGUGUGGGCUUGUGUGUGUGUGUGUGUUGUUGAGCGAGCGGUUAAGAAUAUUAGAAUUUGCCAAAGAGUAGCGAGGCGGUAUUAAGAAAAAAACAAGGUGAGGAUAUUUUCUAAGUUUUGUAUCACUGACUGAAACAGUUUUUGGAUUUGACGAGGCUGAAAAAGUUAAAAAGACAAAGGGGAGUUCCUGUAGAAGAGCGUAGAUAUAAACAUUGAAGGUAAAAAAAUCUGAUUUGUAAUAGAAAAAGUGAAUAAGAAUAACCCAAAACCAAGGAAUCCAUGGAAUACUCCUCCAUUAAAUGUUCAGUAAUUGAUCCACUGACAGUGAGUCAAUGUUUUUUUACAGAUAUGAAAACCCUCUCUCACACAUGGUAUAAUAUAUGUACAUAUAUUAUAUGAUACAUAUAUGUACAUGUAAUUAUACCUUUUCACCAUUUUACCACCAGGUGGUAUUUAAUUAUUUAGUGUUUACCUUCCUGAGCAGUGCUCAGCUGCUCACACAGGCUGUACUUCCUGUGAUUCUCCACGGUCACUCCACUCCACUCCACUCUGUGAUCAACAAUGUAGAAAAUCAAAGAAAAAGAAAACGAAGAACAAACUAACUGUUGCUGGAAAACCGUUCAUGAGCCAGGCUUUAAAAUCAAUUCAGUGUGAACUCUCUCCACAGGUCAGACCACUUGAGUUAGAGCUGUCAAUUGACAUUUCAAGGAAAUAUGACAUGGUCCCUAUUUAAGCAGAUUCAUUUCUGUUUGCCAGCACAGGCAGUGCAUUCACGAGACGACAGUGGGAAAAAAACAAAAAAAUCUUUAUUAACAUUCUCAGCACAUAACCGUCGAAACAACAAAACAAUAAAUAUUAUCUGCCCUGAAAAUCACAGUUCACAUUUCUAACCUGUCCUACAAAAUUCUGUUUAUAUUAAAUUAACUCUGCAUCUGUUCCCCACUGUGGCGCUUAACACUGCUGCACAAGAAACUAGUUUCACUCCAAGUUUGUGUUCACACUGUAAAGUAAUGCGCACUCUCUCCUCAACUAAUCCAUUUUAGAAUCCACCUCGAGAUGAGGGUUUCAAUCCCAAAUCAACUUGGGUGCGAUAUUAUAAAAUCCAUAGCGUGUUUCGUGACCCACGAACAUGUACAAAAACUUUACCUCAGUGAGGCUGCCAUGUGUGUUGUUUACAUCGAUAUUCAUAUUUAAUGGAUGAAAACUCCCAGAUAUC